UACGUAGGGGACAAGCGUUGUCCGGAAUUAUUGGGCGUAAAGAGCUCGUAGGCGGUGUGUCGCGUCGGCCGUGAAAACCUGCAGCUUAACUGUGGGCGUGCGGUCGAUACGGGCAUCACUGGAGUUCGGCAGGGGAGACUGGAAUUCCUGGUGUAGCGGUGAGAUGCGCAGAUAUCAGGAGGAACACCGGUGGCGAAGGCGGGUCUCUGGGCCGAUACUGACGCUGAGGAGCGAAAGCGUGGGGAGCGAACAGG
rnacentral:rRNA from 1 species